UAUUUGUCUUGUAGAACACAAACGAAAGGAAAAGGACUGCUGCUCUACUGGGUCUGCCACACUACCUAUCCGAAGACCCAUCCGACAUCAUUAGGAUGUGUGAUGCCCAUGGUGAGAGUCUGGCUGCAGCCAUGAAGGGGAUGCAACUUGGCCUACUGAUAGGCUAUGAAGGUGACAACCAGGAUGCCUUUCCAGAGGUCUUCGAUGUGGCAGUUGUGGUUGAAGAAAACAUUGUGCUACACAACUUCAAGGAUGUGCCAUCCAGCUUCACCAUGCUUCUGGGGAUCAUCUACUGCGUUAUCCACGAGCCAUGAAGUAUUCCUUUGAGUUCCUGCAGAGGGUAGUGAUGAAGAUCAAACCAGAUGAGGCCUCUGCCAGAGUCCACGGUGUCCGAAACAAGCUCCUGAGGUAUAAACUGUAAAGCAUGCCCCACUCGGGAAUGGAAUGGUAAUGCAAAAGAAAUGACGUGAUUUUGUGUUUUUGUUGUUUUACUGUUGUAGUGUACGUUCAUGCACGCCAACACCCAGAGUGGGAAACUACUGUUGUAGUGUACGUUCAUGCACGCCAACACCCAGAGUGGGAAACUACUGUUGUAGUGUACGUUCAUGCACGCAAAUGCCCAGAGUUGUAAACUACUGUUGUAGUGUACGUUCAUGCACGCCAACACCCAGAGUGGGAAACUACUGUUGUAGUGUACGUUCAUGCACGCAAAUGCCCAGAGUGGGAAACUACUGUUGUAGUGUACGUUCAUGCACGCAAAUGCCCAGAGUGGGAAACUACUGUUGUAGUGUACGUUCAUGCACGCAAAUGCCCAGAGUGGGAAACUACUGUUAUAGUGUACGUUCAUGCACGCCAACACCCAGAGUGGGAAACUACUGUUGUAGUGUACGUUCAUGCACGCCAACACCCAGAGUGGGAAACUACUGUUGUAGUGUACGUUCAUGCACGCAAAUGCCCAGA